rnacentral:pre_miRNA from 1 species
UUUAAAUAUAGUAGUGAAUUUUCAUAUCCAAUGUUUAAACGUUCGUUUUAUUUAAAUUUUUUUAUAGUUCGUACAUUAUUAUUAUUAUUAGAUGAUAAAAUAUGACUACUAUUUUAUGUAUGCCUUAUUUUUUAAAAGUUUCAUAAUUUUUUAAAUAAGAUGGAUAAUUAAAUAUUGAUCACGGAAACCCGUGUAACUACACUUAAA